rnacentral:rRNA from 1 species
AUUGAACGCUGGCGGCAGGCCUAACACAUGCAAGUCGAGCGAGCGGCGGACGGGUGAGUAAUGUCUGGGAAACUGCCUGAUGGAGGGGGAAAACUUCGGGAAACGGUAGCUAAUACCGCAUACUAUCAGAUGUGCCCAGAGGGGAUUCGCUAGUGGGUGGGGUAACGGCUCACCUAGGCGACGAUCCCUAGCUGGUCUGAGAGGAUGACCAGCCACACUGGAACUGAGAAACGGGCCAGAGUCCUACGGGAGGCAGAAGGGGGGAAUAUUGCACAAUGGGCGCAAGCCUGAUGCAGCCAUGCCGCGUGUAUGAAGAAGGCCUUAGGGUUGUAAAGUACUUUCAGUGGGGAGGCGUUACCCGCAGAAGAAGCACCGGCUAACUCCGUGCCAGCAGCCGCGGUAAUAC